UGGCCUCGUGAUCCGCCCGUCUCGGCCUCCCAAAGUGCUGGGAUUACAGGCUUGAGCCACCGCGCCCGGCCCAUGAAACCAUUUUAGUUCUUAACAUGGUGACUGAAAAUUAGAAAAAACAGGCUCCUCAUUAUAGAACACACAUUGCUACAGGAAUGGAAUAAGCUUAAACAUGUUCAGAAAAGUGAAACUGCCUAUAUAAGUAAAAGGCUGAUGAUAAUGGCCUACAAUCAUGUUAAUAUUAUUAUCCCAAUGUUUGGAAACAAGAAAGCAUGGAGUGUUGAAGAAUAACAGGUAACAAUUUGAGAGCAGAAGGA
rnacentral:lncRNA from 1 species